rnacentral:rRNA from 1 species
UACGGAGGGGGCUAGCGUUGUUCGGAAUUACUGGGCGUAAAGGGCUCGUAGGCGGCCAACUAAGUCGGAUGUGAAAUCCCCAGGCUUAACCUGGGAACUGCAUCCGAUACUGGAUGGCUUGAAUCCGGGAGAGGGAUGCAGAAUUCCAGGUGUAGCGGUGAAAUGCGUAGAUAUCUGGAGGAAUACCGGUGGCGAAGGCGGCAUCCUGGACCGGCAUUGACGCUGAGUGAGCGAAAGCUAGGGGAGCAAACGGG